GCUUACUUAUCAAAAUAUCAAGUGAAAUUUUUUCAUUAGCUCGAGACGCAAUAUGGAUUAACUACUAUAUGGAUAUAUGAGUGGUUGAUAAAACUAUAAUUAAUGAAUCAAACACAUGGUUUCAAUUGUUGUUACGUUAUUUAAAUUAGGUUAUUUAUCAGUUUGCACAUUUAAAUGUUUUGGUUAGACAAGGUUACAAGAAAUUAGUACUUCCGGAUUACAUCAAAAGAAGUUGAAGGAUACUGAUUAGACGAAAAUUAAACUAGAAAUAAUUUAUCAUAAUGUGUCAAGUGUUGCAACUAAGUCAUCUUGGGAAAUAGUUAAAUAGUUAAAUCAUGUUUUCCAAAGUUUCACAGCUUGGAAAAUACUAACAUACGAGUGACAAAAUUCGUCUUCAGACUAGUCCGUGGACUAAUUCAGUCAUGUCGUAGGUGGUAUUUGAGCUCCAUCUUGCUGGAAAUGAGUCUCCUAUAGUUUAUCAUCGUGCAACAUUAUAUUAUUUACAAAUGGUGUCAAAAUUUCCAGCCGGUGAGCAGUUAGUGUUUCUAAAAGCCACAAAACCUUAUCAGAUUUCGCAAUAAUGUGAAAAAAUAUACGUUAUACCAAUGAGGUUUUACAGUUGUGUUUAUCAUUAUAUUUUGCUGGAUUCCAAGGUUUUCCAUUUGCCAUGCAAACGAACUUUACUGCGAAUUACAGAAAAAUUAAAGUUUUCUCCUGGUUUGCAAGAUGUUAUGUUUGACAUUCUACUAAGGUUGAUAACAUGAGUGAAAUAGACAAAAAUUGGGUUUUAGCUAUUGACGAAAUGAGUCUUAAUAAACAAUUAUUUUACCAUAUUGCUCAAGACGAAGUGAUUGGACUACAUAAUUUGGGGUUUUGGGGAUGGGAAAAACUUUAGACGUGGAGCAGUUAUUAUGCUCAGAGAGCUUCAUAAUAAAAAAUGAUGCAAGAGAAAUUGGAAAAAAAUUGGUAUAAAUAUUAUGGCUGUUGUGUCCAAAAUAUAAAUCAAAUGAAGAUACUUAUUUUUAUGCGGAUGAUAAAAAAAUGACUAUAUUUUUGAUGUACUGCAUUUAUU